GGCCUUGUAGCACAGCGGUUGAUGCAGCGGACUGUUAGCCCGUCACACGCAGGUUCGAAUCCUGUCGGGGCCG
rnacentral:tRNA from 1 species